AGUGAACGCUGGCGGCGUGCUUAACACAUGCAAGUCGAACGAGAACGGGUUAUAGCUUGCUAUAAUUGUCAGCUAAGUGGCGCACGGGUGAGUAAUGUAUAGGUAAUAUGCCUCUUACUAAGGGAUAACAAAUGGAAACGUUUGCUAAUACCUUAUACUCCUUAUUAACAUAAGUUAAUAAGGGAAAGAUUUAUUGGUAAGAGAUUAGCCUGUAUUGUAUCAGUUAGUUGGUGGGGUAAUGGCUUACCAAGACUAUGACACAUAACUGGUUUGAGAGGAUGAUCAGUCACACUGGAACUGAGACACGGUCCAGACUCCUACGGGAGGCAGCAGUGGGGAAUAUUGCACAAUGGACGAAAGUCUGAUGCAGCAACGCCGCGUGGAGGAUGACACAUUUCGGUGCGUAAACUCCUUUAUAUGAGAAGAUAAUGACGGUAUUAUAUGAAUAAGCACCGGCUAACUCCGUGCCAGCAGCCGCUGUAAUAC
rnacentral:rRNA from 1 species